rnacentral:rRNA from 1 species
GAGCGCAACCCUUAUCCCCAGUUGCCAUCAGGUAAAGCUGGGAACUCUGGGGAGACUGCCGGUGGAUAAACCGGAGGAAGGCGGGGGAUGACGUCAAGUCCUCAUGGCCCUUACAUCCCGGGCUACACACGUGCUACAAUGGCAGGUACAGAGGGCUGCGAAGCCGCGAGGUGGAGCGAAUCCCAGAAAACCUGUCUCAGUCCGGAUUGAAGUCUGCAACUCGACUUCAUGAAGGCGGAAUCGCUAGUAACCGCGAAUCAGCAGGUCGCGGUGAAUACGUUCCCGGGCCUU